rnacentral:ncRNA from 1 species
UAAAAAACUAUGAUAAGGAAGAGUAAGUAAAAAACUGUUUAUAAGAGAUGAAAGUCCAAUUAGGCUGCAAGACUUUCUUAAAUAAGAUUUGCUGAAAACCACCUUUGAGUUGCAUGGGAAAUAACCAUUGCCGUUGGCUGCGUUAAGGCUUUCGAGUGAAUAGUAUUAAAAGUAUUAUAUUUUAGUACUAUUAAUUUGGGUGGAAUCGCGAUAUCCUCGUCCCAUAU